UACGGAGGAUGCAAGCGUUAUCCGGAUUCAUUGGGUUUAAAGGGUGCGCAGGUUGGCUUUUAAGUCAGUGGUGAAAUGCUGCCGCUUAACGGUAGAAUUGCCAUUGAUACUGAGAGUCUUGAAUAUGGUUGAGGUAGGCGGAAUGUGUUGUGUAGCGGUGAAAUGCAUAGAUAUGACACAGAACACCGAUUGCGAAGGCAGCUUACUAAGCCAUUAUUGACGCUGAGGCACGAAAGCGUGGGGAGCGAACAGGAUUAGAUACCCUGGUAGUCCACGCUGUAAACGAUGUUCACUCGCUGUCUGCGAUACACAGUAGGCGGCUGAGCGAAAGCAUUAAGUGAACCACCUGGGGAGUACGAUCGCAAGGUUGAAACUCAAAGGAAUUGACGGGGGCCCGCACAAGCGGAGGAACAUGUGGUUUAAUUCGAUGAUACGCGAGGAACCUUACCUGGGCUUAAAUGUAGAUUGCAUGGGGUAGAAAUAUCCCUUCCCUUCGGGGCUAUUUACAAGGUGCUGCAUGGUUGUCGUCAGCUCGUGCCGUGAGGUGUCGGGUUAAGUCCCAUAACGAGCGCAACCCUUACCGUUAGUUGCCAUCGGGUCAAGCCGGGGACUCUAGCGGGACUGCCACCGUAAGGUGAGAGGAAGGUGGGGAUGACGUCAAAUCAGCACGGCCCUUAUGUCCAGGGCUACACACGUGUUACAAUGGCAGGUACAAAGGGCAGCUACCGGGUGACCGGAUGCUAAUCCCAAAAGCCUGUCCCAGUUCGGAUUGGAGUCUGCAACCCGACUCCAUGAAGUUGGAUUCGCUAGUAAUCGCGCAUCAGCCAUGGCGCGGUGAAUACGUUCCCGGGCCU
rnacentral:rRNA from 1 species